rnacentral:rRNA from 1 species
UACGAAGGGGGCGAGCGUUGUUCGGAAUCACUGGGCGUAAAGGGCGCGUAGGCGGCCCUUCUUGUCGCGUGUGAAAGCCCCGGGCUCAACCUGGGAAUGGCGCGCGAGACGGGGGGGCUGGAGUUCGGGAGAGGAGCGUGGAAUUCCCAGUGUAGAGGUGAAAUUCGUAGAUAUCUGGAGGAACACCGGUGGCGAAGGCGGCAUCCUGGACCAAUAUUGACGCUGAGGAGCGAAAGCCAGGGGAGCAAACGGG